GCUGCUGUCAUGGUGCCUCUGUCAGUCUCCUCCCCCUCUCCACUCUCCUCUCCUCUCCACCCGGCUGCUGAUUAACCCCAGCUGCGACCACUCACCUCAUCACCUCGCCUGCCUUUUUAAGGAGCACCAGGAUCAUCAUUCUUUGCCAGUCCGUUGCCCCUGAUGGAAUCUGUUACCACGAGUGGUCGCUGCUGUCUGCCUCUGCCGGAUCCCAAGUUGGAUCUUCUCUCCACGGUCAUCCCACGAGCCUCCGCCUUUGCUCCACGGUCCUGCUCCCAAGACGGCUAUCUCCCUCUCCGAGGAACCAACCGGUGACGCCUCCAGCCUCGACCUCCUGCUUGGAGCCCACUUCUUGCCCUGUUCAAGUUACUACCUCCUCGCAUCACUAUUAAAUCCUUUAUCUACCA